GACGAACGCUGGCGGCGUGCUUAACACAUGCAAGUCGAACGGAAAGGCCCUGCUUUUGUGGGGUGCUCGAGUGGCGAACGGGUGAGUAACACGUGAGUAACCUGCCCUUGACUUUGGGAUAACUUCAGGAAACUGGGGCUAAUACCGGAUAGGAGCUCCUGCUGCAUGGUGGGGGUUGGAAAGUUUCGGCGGUUGGGGAUGGACUCGCGGCUUAUCAGCUUGUUGGUGGGGUAGUGGCUUACCAAGGCUUUGACGGGUAGCCGGCCUGAGAGGGUGACCGGGCACAUUGGGACUGAGAUACGGCCCAGACUCCUACGGGAGGCAGAAGUGGGGAAUAUUGCACAAUGGGCGGAAGCCUGAUGCAGCAACGCCGCGUGCGGGAUGACGGCCUUCGGGUUGUAAACCGCUUUCGCCUGUGACGAAGCGUGAGUGACGGUAAUGGGUAAAGAAGCACCGGCUAACUACGUG
rnacentral:rRNA from 1 species